rnacentral:lncRNA from 1 species
CUGGAGGAUCCUCCAGGUGAGCCUGGCCAACAACCUGCGUGUAGCCUUGUGCAAUACUGAGCCAAGGACCCAGCUAAGCAAGCCAAGCCAUACUCCUAAGCCACAGAAGCUAUAAGAUAAUCAAUGGGCAUUGUUGAAAGCACUAGGUUUACGGUCAUUGUUACAUAGCAAUCAGUAACUAAUACACCAGGCGAAACCUGACUCCUGCUCUACACCUGCUAGAAAAGACUCAUUCAGGCUGGCGCAGUGGCUCACGCUUGUAAUCCCAGCACUGAGGGAGGCCGAGGCGGGCGGAUCACGAGGUCAGGAGAUCGAGACCAUCGUGGCUAACACGGUGAAACCCCGUCUCUACUAAAAAUACAAAAAAUUAGCCAGGCGUGGUGGCGGGCACUUGUAGUCCCAGCUACUCGGGAGGCUGAGGCAAGAGAAUGGUGUGAACCCGGGUGGUGGAGCUUGCAGUGAGCCGAGAUUGCGCCACUGCAGUCCAGCCUGGGGGACAGAUGGACACUCUGUCUCAAAAAAAAAAAAAAAAAAAAAGAGAGAAAAAGAAAAGAGUCAUUCAAUCACGGUGACUUUGAGUGGGGGAACCUAC